GAUGAACGCUGGCGGCGUGCCUAACCCAUGCAAGUCGAGCGAGAUGUAUAUGGACGAAACUUCGGUCUAGGAAAUAUAUUGACAGCGGCGGACGGGUGAGUAACGCGUAGGCAACCUGCCCUUAACACAGGGAUAGCCUCGGGAAACCGGGAUUAAAACCUGAUAAUGCCAAAUAGUCACAUGGCUGUUUGGCCAAAGAUUUAUCGGUUAAGGAUGGGCCUGCGUCUGAUUAGUUUGUUGGUGGGGUAACGGCCUACCAAGACUACGAUCAGUAGCCGAACUGAGAGGGUGAUCGGCCACAUUGGAACUGAGACACGGUCCAAACUCCUACGGGAGGCAGCAGUGGGGAAUAUUGCACAAUGGGCGAAAGCCUGAUGCAGCAACGCCGCGUGAGCGAUGAAGGCCUUUGGGUCGUAAAGCUCUGUCCUUGGGGAAGAAAAAAAUGACGGUACCCAAGGAGGAAGCCCCGGCUAACUACGUGCCAGCAGCCGCAGUAAUAC
rnacentral:rRNA from 1 species